rnacentral:rRNA from 1 species
AUUGAACGCUGGCGGCAGGCCUAACACAUGCAAGUCGAACGAGUGGCGGACGGGUGAGUAAUGUCUGGGAAACUGCCUGAUGGAGGGGGAUAACUACUGGAAACGGUAGCUAAUACCGCAUACCAUCAGAUGUGCCCAGAGGGGAUUAGCUAGUUGGUGGGGUAAAUGCUCACCAAGGCGACGAGCCCUAGCUGGUCUGAGAGGAUGACCAGCAAACCGGGAACUGAGGCACGGUCCAGCGUCCCACGGGAGGCAGCAGGGGGGAAUAUUGCAAAAUGGGCGCAAGCCUGAUGCAGUCAUGCCGCGUGUAUGAAGAAGGCCUUCGGGUUGUAAAGUACUUUCAGCGGGGAGGCGUUACCCGCAGAAGAAGCACCGGCUAACUCCGUGCCAGCCGCCGCGGUAAUAC